ACAUCAAAACACAACUCGAGUCAAGUCAACUCGAGUCUGGUCAACCAGGUCAACCUUGACCUAAGGUUGCACCAACACAUAUCAGAUGAGAAUUUUACUCUAGUAAUUCACUUUUUAAUUGAUGUAUGCGCUGUAAACAAAUGUGAAGUAGUUGCAGAUGUAUUCAAAUACUAUUAAUAAUCAAUAUAAAGAUUGAAACUUGACUAUAUUUGUUCUGGUGAAACUCUAAAGCUUAAAUUAUAAUUAUAAUUCAUUUGGAUUCUUUAUUAAGAUAAAAUUCAUGUAUAUCUUUCCUAUUUUAUUCACUUAGCAAUUUUUGCUUAUGCCAUGUUUCUCUUAACCUCCAGAUUUGCUGGCUGUGACAUACCUAUGGAGUCUUUGUUGGUUUUAGUCAGUAUAUAGGGUUGCUCAGAGCUUCUUUGUCAUGUUGAAAAUUAGUUUUGCUCAUGAGAAAUCUCCGAUUCUUUCCUGUGCAAAGCUUUCUCUAGACGUUGUGCAGCCCUCAAAAGGUUUCCAUGCUUUAAAAGACCUCCUGGAGUAUCUUGUGGUAUUCGUUAUGGAAGAGGGAUGUUUCAGCUGAUACAUAGCUCGGGUGGAAAUAAAAAAAAGGUAAACAAAAGGUAUGCGGGACUCCCAUCUUUUUGUCACGAGCCUAGCAUAUUGGAACAUUUAAGGGGUUAAUUCUUCCUCUAAACAAAGGGUCGUGUGAGCUUUUAUUUCACAGUAUAUUAUUGCUUGUAUCUUUCUUUAUUCUGGAGACUCAUGUGGCUGAUGAGAAUCUGGGGUAUGCACAUGGGUUGAUUGGUGACUCUUGGGAACCUAUUUUCAAACCAGAAACAGAGGAUUUAGGUGUUACAGAACUGGUAAUGGUGGAUGUUAAAUUUUGGAGUCUCUAAUCAGGUUAUUUCUGAUGAAAUAUCCAUCAUGAUCCUUGUGCUUACCUAGAUUUUUAGCUCUAUGUGGUUUAUAUAAAUUUGAGAAAUGGAGAUCAUUGUGGGAGGUCCUUGGUCAAGCUUGGAUAUUUAAUAAUCUGUCACAUUGUUCGACUUUGACUCAGUAUUUAGUGAUAGCAAAAGGUGGAAUCCACCACCCAGUGGCCCCACAUGGUCGACCUCAUGAGUCAUGACCAUUUAUGAGGAGGUAAAUCAAGAAACUGUAGUUGGCUAGGGAGGGCUUUUUUUUCCUUGGCUUUAUUGAGAUUCGAACCCUUAUCUUAUGGUAGCAACUUUGUCCCGCACUAGCCAACUCAACCCUACCCCGAACUAGGUAUUCAGAAUAAGAUGGGUGGUGCCCCUGUUCAUAUCAAUAAAAUCAGGAAGUACAAGCUGUAAUUAAUCAUCUAUGUUUUUAAGGAAUUGAAGUGAAAUGGAAACGCUUUUAUCAUGUAUUUGUUAAUUGAAGCUGGGCUUAGUAUGGUGAUUCUGAGGUUUUCUUUUUGCUUAAGAGUGCAAAUGUUUCGGACCAUUCAGACUAUUGUAGUGCUCUUGUUUAGUGUUCCUUGGAUGAAUUGAACUUCAAUUUCAUGGUCUUUAACUGUUGGUUUUCUUAUGCUGAGAUUUUUUUGACAUUCUCAAUAGGGUAUGAAGCUUGAGUAUUCAAAAUAAAUGUGGAAGGAAGCCAACCCUCAUCUUCACUUUAUUGGCAAAGUUUAAGUUAGGCUGAACCUGUAGUUUGUUGGGCAGCACAACAAUUGUCUUGGUUCAAUUCAUUAAAUUGUGGCAGAUCCUUUCAAUACUGAGUUGCAUUUGGCUGAACAACUUCUUCAAAUGGGAUUGUCUAUAAUAUUCAGAGUUUGAAAUGAAGCAGAAAUCUGGUGGUACACCCUCUUAACAUCAAGAGUAGCCAGCAUACUUUUACAAAAGGGGGCAUUCCAUUCUUUUAAUAAAAUUUUCUAGUUCUUACCAAAGAAGAUUCGAUGUUACAACUGCCAAGAAGAAAGACAUCAAGGACGACUCCCCCAAACUGAAGAAAGAAAAGGGCAAAAGACCAACAAGAUCGAAACUCAAGAAUUUAAAGGCAAUAUGAGAUGAAUCUUCAUCCUCUGAGUCUGAGAUCGAGGCCUACGCCGGACUAGUCCUACUGGUUGACCACCAAGGGGAAGAUGAAAAUAGCUCAGAGAUAAACAUUGAUGAAGGGGGAGGAUCAUUAGAAGAAAGCUGCGAUGAAGAGGAAAUAUCAGAACACGAGGUAAGUAAGGUACGCGCCUUAACUCCUAAAAAGUCUUUUCAAUUUAUUAAAGUACUUUCCAAGGAUUUAAUAAAACUAGAAAGAGAAAAUGCUGAGAUAAAACUAACCUUAGUUAAUUCAUGCCCCAUAAUAAUGUAUGAUGAUAAUCUAAGAAUAGAGAAUGAUAAAUUGAAAGCACGAAUAGAAAAAUUAAAAAAUGACUAUACAUGGUUGAAUUUGGACAGUUGCCAAAAAUUAAAAUUUACAAAUAACAAUAGAAAUUAUGGUAAAAUCAACUGGUAAAUUAGAAAUCACCAGAACAUAUCAGGAAAAUCCUUAGAAAUUAUGUACCUCUAAAAUUUUUUAAUAAAUCUAGUAGGUAGGAACCUAUAUUGGGUUCCAAAAUCUUUGUUUGACUAAAUUUUAUUUUUUUGUCUCAAUUAGAAAAGUAUUUGAAUUUUUGUUACCGUUAAAUUAUUUUCUAUAAAUUUAUUAACGAAUACGGUAUAUUAAAAUUUUUAAAAAAAUAGAUUUAAUUUUAAAAACUUUACUUUUUUGUGAUGAAAUAUGAUAUUCUCUAUCCUUACAAAUGUUUUUAAAUUUUUUGAAUAUUACGAAUUACUUUGCAAAAAUCAUGUUUUUAAAUUAAAAAUUCAAAGUAAAUAGAUAUUUGAAAACUUUUUCUACCAUCAAACUAUGUGUUUUCCACAUCUUAAUAAAUUAGCAAAAUUUUCAGAAAUAAUAUCAGCUUACAAAAAAUUCUUGUUAUGUACUCCUAGAAAUUUAUAUCAAAAUUUUCUAACUGUUUAUAUUAUUUUUUUUAAAUUUUUUUGAUGUGAUCAAAGGGGGAGACAGGUUCAAGUUAAGGGGGAGUAGUUGUUUGUAAUUUUAUUGACUUGCUUAAUUCAUUCACUUGCGUAAUUCAUUCUAAUUACAAUUCA